AUGAAUGACACUAAUCCCUCGGUUCCAUCUUUCAGGAGGCAGAUUCUGCUCGGUCUCUCUUGGUUUAGGCCAACGCAGAUGGUUGAUCCUGACGAUCUUCGGAGGGCGAUCGGUCUUCCUGUUACUGCUUCGCUGGGCCCUGUUGGUCCCCUCCUCCGGCAACUCCAUGAGGGGGUCAGUGAGGAUGAGAUUCAGAGGCUCACGGUGCAUUUCGAUGGAUUAUGCGUCUCCCUCAUGCAUCAGUCAGAGGUGGAGAAACCUAGCUUCGCCGCCAAGUGCUGGAUGAGUGAGGUCCGGGAACUUUGCUACGACAGCAAAAACUACUUCGACGAUGCCCCGUUUAUUUCCAAGCAAGACGACGACGAUGAUGAUGCCCAGCUCACUCCAGAAGAGAAGCAAGAAAAUGCCCAGUUCGAGUUCAAGAUGAUCGAGGCUCGCGCGGAGCAUGCGUAUGGGAGAAGGGGAAGGUACGGAUUCGACCAGAAAAGCGUCAAUAAGACCACUAAGAUUCCAUCAACAGGACGCCGGCUCCCAGUUCUCCAUCCGGAACUAAUUGAUCGUUGCCGAAUGGAUCAACUUGACACCUUGCUUCGUAAGGAUGAGGAGCAGCAGCUCAAGGUCGUAUCUCUGGUAGGAUUUGAGGGUGUCGGUAAAACCACACUUGCCAAGAGGUUAUACCACCAUAGAGGUGGGCAGUUCAACUGCCGGGCUUUUGUGCGGGUGUCUCCCAACCCGGACAUGAGGAGGCUUCUAACCACCAUAUUCACCCAGAUUCAAUUGCCGACCUCUUCUUCUUCUUCUUCUUCUUCUUCUUCUUCUUCUUCUUCUUCUUCUUCUUCUUCUUCUUCUUCUUCUUCUUCUUCUGGUACUGUCUCUCAGCCUGCUUGCUGCUUGGAUGCGCAGGCCCUCAUCAUAAAUAUUGCAAAAUAUCUCCAAUCAAGAAGGUACUUAAUCAUAAUUGAUGACUUAUGGAGUACUUCAGCAUGGGAUGUUAUUAGGCGUGCUUUUCCUGAUGGUGAUUGUCACAGCAGAAUUAUAACAACCACCCAAUUCGGGGAUGUAGCAUCGGCAUGUUGUAGUUAUCAGUCAAAGUACGUAUUUCAUAUGGAACCUCUAAAAUAUGAUCAAUCACGAAAAUUGUUUUUCAGUAUAGUGUUUGGCUCUGAAGAUAAAGUCAGUUUUCCUGAGGAUUUCAGAGAAGUCUCAUCUGAGAUUGUCAAGAAAUGUGGUGGUUUACCAUUAUCAAUUAUAAAUAUAGCCAGCUUGUUGCCAACAGAAGAAAGCGAAAUAAACCUCCAGCAAUGGAUGGACAUUCGAGAUUAUAUGCCUUCCACUAUGAGGACAAAUCCUACGCCCGAAGGGAUAAAACAAGUUCUAAACCUUGUCUACAAUAAUCUUUCCCCUGAACUGAAGACAUGCUUGCUGUAUCUUGUUGUGAAUCCAGAGGGCUACAUGGUGAGUAAGGAUGAUUUGGUGAAGCAAUGGGUAAUUGAAGGUUUUAUACGGGAAGGACAAAACAAAGAGGAAAUUGCAGGGGGUUAUUUUGAUGAGCUUGUCAGGAGAGGCAUGAUCCAGGCUGUAGACAUCAAUUACCGAGGGGUGCUGUCAUGUACACUUCACCACAUGGUACAUGAUCUUAUUGUGAAGAAAUCCAUUGAGGAAAAUUUCAUAGUUAUCCAGGACUGUUUUCAAUCAGCUAUAGGUCUUCCUGACAAAGUUCGUCGUCUGUCUGUCCAAUUCGGUGGUGCAAGGAGCGCAAAUAUACCGAUGGGAGUCAUGAUGUCUGAAGUUCGAUCACUUGCAUUUUUUGGAUUCUAUGGAUGCACGGACUUCAUUGAGGAGUGUAAGCUUCUUCGAGUUCUAAUUCUCCAUGUGUGGGCUGAUGAAGAUAAAGUGCCUUUUGACCUCUCUGAAAUUAUUAGUAAACUACUUCCAUUGAGAUAUGUGAAGAUUGCAUGUAAUAUCGCUGUCAAACUUCCAGCCGAGAUUCAAGUUCUGCAAUUCCUGGAGAUACUGGAAGUGGAUACACCAGUAGUUGCUAUCCCAUCGGAUAUUGGAGGACUCAGCAGGCUGUCCAGUCUAAAGAUUGCAGUUACAGAGCUAUUGAGGGAAGACAUUUGUAUCCUCCAAAAAUUGGCAGCCCUCACUACUCUUUCAGUGGACGUGAAGACAUCACCCACUGAAUGGAUCGUCUUUGGAAAGGGAGGAUUCUUGGUCCUCACUUUCUUCACAUUCAGGUGCAGUGCACCUCGUCUGCUAAUUGAAGAUAGUGCAAUACCUAAAUGCGAGAAGCUACACCUAUGUUUAAAUGGCCACGAAGCAUCUCCUCGAGAUGGUAAGAAGCCUAUCACCAUCGAGCACUUGGCAAGCCUUAAAGAGAUAUCUGUAAAAAUUUGGGGUGCAGUUGCUAACAAGGGGUCCGCCUUGACGAAUGUUAUUACCAAUGAUGCAAGAAAUCCUAUUCCUAACGUUCAAUUGAUGGGUGAUACCAGUGGUGUAGAAGUCCACAUGAUCUUCGACCUCAACGAUGGUGAUUAUGCUGAAUUCAUCCGCCUCCUUAUUGGCGUGCUCGUGAGGUACGACGACGGUGAACACAUCCAAGGGUAUCCUCCUGUUCUGGGUAAGCAACUGUUCCCGAAAGAGCCAAACAGGUGGAUGCGCAUCAAGCUAGUGGCCGGCAUGACUGAAACAAUCCUUGCUGUUCGGGAUGACAAUCUGAACCUCAUUGGCUUCCAGGCUAAAAACGGAAGGUGGUACGAGUUGGGGUUCGCAGGGAGGAGCACACGAAUGCUUCCUGGAUCCACCUUUUUAGACUGCGAUUGUGACUAUACAGACUUGCUACAGGUAAAAGCUACCUGUCUGGAAGAAAGAAACCGACUAGUCAGGGAAGAAAUGGUGAAGAUAGAGCUAGGCAAGACCUCCUCAAUUGAAGCCGUGGGUAUUCUCUCGGGCUACAAUAAUAAAACGGAAGGUGUGGCAGCUGAUCGAGACACCAGGCGGGCACUGGUGCGCCUAAUGCUCAUGUUGUGCGAGGCCACGAGGAUGACCCCAUUCUUUGACACCGUGCUGGCUAGCUGGAGCGACACACAAGGAGGGAAUAGCCAUAUCUUGAGAGAGGACCAGGCAAUGUACGUUUGGUACUGGGGAAAAAUGUCGGCCGUGCUGCUGGAGUGGGAGGCAACAGGUUAUAAGAGUUGGGGACCAAAUGAGACCACCGCGAUGCUGGCCAAUGAAAUCAAUGUCAAAUCUGCACAAGAGGCACUCGCUGUCGUCAAGGUGCUUCUCAACACACCCGUCGCCCCCAACAACACUUGCACCAGAGGAGGCCGACCUCUUGUGGAGGUGUUUACCAUGCGUGCUGACUCCGGUGUUGUUGACACCAUUUCGGUUUUUGACGGGAGACGUGGCCAGACCAUAUACAGACACCAUGCUAGCCCCACUCCUAUCCACCACUUUUGGUCUUCGUCUCAAGGUCCUAACGAUUUGGUACUCACUGGACCAUAUAGAGCCAUCUCAGCGGAGGGCAGCUUCGCCAUCCAAGUCGACAGCAUCAUCUCCAGGACAGACGCCUCUGACGAACCUAGUAAAGUCAGUGCUGACAUGUCCUGGGAUUGCUACUCCGGUGAAGCCUCCAUGUACAACAAGGUCUUGACCAACCGCAUCGCCACAGACGACAAAGGCCAACUUGCAGAAGUGGCCUAUGCUGUGUUCAGUGACGCCGUGGAGGUCACCGUCCAAAUAAAGGUGACUAGAGUUGACCCCGCCGACGUUUACGGUAAAAUCACCGCGCACAACCAGCACUACGGCAGCAACAGCAUACUGCUCUUCAGCCGUACAGAUUGGGAUUUCCUUGCAACAAAGGAGGAAAAGAGGCAAGGAAGAAGGCGUGCAAAACUGAGGGCAAGUGGAACUUCCAAUUGCUGGAUUCCACUUACGCGAUCCGUCGUUGCGGUGCCAUUAGGCUCGCCGCUUGAGAUAAGGGUCAAUUUGUAUGCAUGUCCAUCCGAAUAUGGGCUUACUGAUUAUUUCAAGGAGGAUAUAGAUUUUUCUCUCAUAGAUCAGCAUGUGGGGCAAAUCAAAAGGCACCAUGUGGUGGUUCGAGUGACCUCGCUGGACAUCUGCACUCUCCCGGAACAAAGUCACACAACACUGCCUACGCUCGCCAUGACCUGGGUUCCAGGGGUGACAAGUAUGAGGACGGGGGCAGGAAUGCCCAUCGAGCAGCCUGCACAUGUGUAUAUGGACUUCAACUGUGGCAGUGGUAAGUACAGUGCAUUCAUGGACGACUUGUGUGAAAAGCUUGCGGAGCACCCGGGCAAAGCUGCUGUCCAUGGGCGGCCUGUCCUCGCCAGGCAGCGGCGUGGAAAGCCAACGAGGCUGUUUAUGAUCAGGCUAGCGGGUGACAGAGAUUAUGAAUGGGUAACUCUGGCCGUUCGGGACGACAACUUGUGCCUCGUUGGCUUCCAAACUCCGGACGGGAGGUGGCACGAGUUCGGCUCCGGCUCCAUAACUUGUCUCCAAGAGUCCACCUUUUUAGGGUCCAAUGGAAGCUAUGAUAGCUUAUUAGGUGAAUCUGGAGACCGGUGGCAAGAGCUGAAGCUGGGCAGGAAGUCCGCAACAGAUGCCAUAGGAAAGCUCUCGGCGUACGAGGACCGAGUGGGCGUAGUAGUUGAUCAAGACACCAAAGUGGAUUUGGCUCGCCUGAUGGUCAUGAUAUGCGAGGCCGCACGGUUGGCAGAAAUCUACGACAUGGUGAAGAAAGGAUGGGAAGACGGAAUCUGUAUCACCGACCGGCAGGUACAGCACAUAGAUAACUGGGACAAUAUUUCUCGCGUUCUGCUUGGCAGAAGAAGGAGAGUCAGAAACAUAGGUUUGAAGAAGGAAGACGACGCGGCAGCUGUAGUGAAGAUGGUGCUUAACCCUUUCCGUCCCCUUGUGGAGGUGUUUGGCCUGCGUGCUUACCCUAGUUUCAGUGGCACCAUCUCCGCCGUGGACGACAAAGGAAGCAAGGUCGUCAUUUACAACAAGGACCCUCAAGCCAAACGAGAUGAUACUCCGUCCUCUCAGACGCAAACUCAGAGUAAUAUCGAUUGUCACCACAAAGAAGCACAGGAGGAUUUGCCACCUGCUGUAACGUACAGACCCAUCUCAGCUGACGGGGAGUUCUACAUUCAAGUCAGUGGCAAUUCCACCACACAUACCUCCCGUCUCACCUUGGUAUGGGAUGGUCAUUCCGAUAAAGCUGCGUACAACAUCAUCAACACACACCAAAUCAGCAUAGGCAGCUCCAAAGCUGAACUAACGUAUGCGGUGCUCCACGAUGCCGUGGAGGCCACCGUGAAGGUCCAGCUGAAUCUCAAGGAACCCGAAGAAGCUGGCACCGUCACCGGCGUGUACGGUGAAAUCACCGCGACCAACCAGCACUACAAGAACAAGAGCAUCCUGCUCUUCAGCCAUCCAAAGGAACAGGCAGUAAAACCCGAGGUCAAUGCCUCGGAUGCCGUUUCAAUUUCACUCAAGUUGAUGAGGGGUUUCAUUGUGGCGUCACUUGAGCGCUUGCUUGUGAUAAAGGUUAGCUUGCGUGCUGUGUGCUCCAGCUAUGAGGAACCCAUAUGCUUCGAGCAAGAAGUGAGUUUCGACCCCAAUAUGGGUACCGCGCAAACAGCGAAGAUCGAUGCACCCACUAUGGAGGCUCAAGUGAUGUUCAUCACCAACGAGCGAAAUGCGCCCAGCCAGGGAAGGGUAAAGCAAUGGCGCCGGCGACCACGCGCGAGUGCCGCAAUACUCCCCAACACUACUACUGCGGGAUGA
rnacentral:rRNA from 1 species